GCUGAUAAUUAUAUAUUUGAAAAUGUUAAUUCUGUCAGCACAACAACUAUUGCUCGAGUCCUAAAGAAACACCAAGUUACAAUGAAACAGUUAUACACUGUACCGUUCGAGAGAAACAGUGAACGGGUAAAGGAGCAAAGAUACCAAUAUGUCCAGAGAGUAAUGGAGGUGGAAGCACUGGAAAGACCACAUUCAUUUGUAUUUAUCGAUGAAGCUGGAUUUACCCUUGCCAAAACACGGCGCAGAGGAAGGAAUGUUAUAGGUCAAAGGGCCACUGUGGAGGUUCCAGGCCAAAGGGGGGGAAAUAUCACCAUGUGUGCUGCAAUGGCCAAUGAUGGUUUGCUUCUCAACACACCACUCAUUGGCCCAUACAACACAGAAAGGCUUAUAGCUUUCCUAGAACAGCUCUAUGCUCAGCUAGUGCCAGCAGAAUAGGGGGAGCCAGUAAGAAACCCACAAGUUUUUGUCAUAGUUUGCGAUAACGUUGCUUUUCACCACUCUGCAGCUGUCACAGAUUGGUUUGCAGCACAUCACAGAUUUAUGGUUUUGUACCUGCCUGCAUAUUCACCCUUCCUCAACCCAAUAGAGGAGUUUUUCUCUGCCUGGAGGUGGAAAGUGUUUGGUCACCACCCACAUGACCAAAUGUCUCUUUUGGAAGCCAUGCGUGCCGGAUGUGAGGACACGAGUCCAGAGGACUGCCAGGGAUGGAUAAGGCACUCCAGAAGGUUCUUCCCCAGGUGCAUGGCAAGAGAAAAC